rnacentral:rRNA from 1 species
AGAGUUUGAUCAUGGCUCAGGAUGAACGCUGGCGGUCUGCUUAACACAUGCAAGUCGAACGAAUCCUUUCGGGGAUUAGUGGCGGACGGGUGAGUAACGCGUGAGAAUCUGCCAAAAGGACUGGGACAACCACUGGAAACGGUGGCUAAUACCAGAUGUGCCGCAACGUAAAAGAGGAAACUCGCCUUUUGAGGAGCUCGCGUCUGAUUAGCUAGUUGGUAGGGUAAAAGCUUACCAAGGCAUCGACCAGUAGCUGGUCUGAGAGGAUGACCAGCCACACUGGGACUGAGACACGGCCCAGACUCCUACGGGAGGCAGCAGUGGGGAAUUUUCCGCAAUGGGCGAAAGCCUGACGGAGCAAGACCGCGUGAGGGAAGAAGGCUCUUGGGUCGUAAACCUCUUUUGUCAGGGAAGAACACAAUGACGGUACCUGAAGAAUCAGCAUCGGCUAACUCCGUGCCAGCAGCCGCGGUAAUACGGAGGAUGCAAGCGUUAUCCGGAAUUAUUGGGCGUAAAGCGUCCGUAGGUGGUUUUGCAAGUCGGCUGUCAAAGCACAGGGCUUAACCCUGUAAAGGCAGUGGAAACUACAAGACUCGAGUGCAGUAGGGGCAGAGGGAAUUCCCAGUGUAGCGGUGAAAUGCGUAGAGAUUGGGAAGAACACCCGUGGCGAAAGCGCUCUGCUGGACUGCAACUGACACUCAGGGACGAAAGCUAGGGGAGCGAAUGGGAUUAGAUACCCCAGUAGUCC